rnacentral:rRNA from 1 species
AGAGUUUGAUCAUGGCUCAGGACGAACGCUGGCGGCGUGCCUAAUACAUGCAAGUGGAACGCAUUUUAAUCACCGUAGCUUGCUACACCGAUUAAAAUGAGUCGCGAACGGGUGAGUAACGCGUAGGUAACCUACCUCAUAGCGGGGGACAACUAUUGGAAACGAUAGCUAAUACCGCAUAAGACAACUUAUCGCAUGAUGGGAUGUUAAAAGAUGCAACUGCAUCACUAUGAGAUGGACCUGCGUUGUAUUAGCUAGUUGGUGAGGUAACGGCUCACCAAGGCUGCGAUACAUAGCCGACCUGAGAGGGUGAUCGGCCACACUGGGACUGAGACACGGCCCAGACUCCUACGGGAGGCAGCAGUAGGGAAUCUUCGGCAAUGGGGGCAACCCUGACCGAGCAACGCCGCGUGAGUGAAGAAGGUUUUCGGAUCGUAAAGCUCUGUUGUAAGCGAAGAACAGUGAUAGGAGUGGAAAAUCUAUCACAUGACGGUAGCUUACCAGAAAGGGACGGCUAACUACGUGCCAGCAGCCGCGGUAAUACGUAGGUCUCGAGCGUUGUCCGGAUUUAUUGGGCGUAAAGCGAGCGCAGGCGGUUAGAUAAGUCAGAAGUUAAAGGCUGUGGCUCAACCAUAGUACGCUUUUGAAACUGUCUAACUUGAGUGCAGAAGGGGAGAGUGGAAUUCCAUGUGUAGCGGUGAAAUGCGUAGAUAUAUGGAGGGACACCGGUGGCGAAAGCGGCUCUCUGGUCUGUCACUGACGCUGAGGCUCGAAAGCGUGGGUAGCGAACAGGAUUAGAUACCCUGGUAGUCCACGCCGUAAACGAUGAGUGCUAGGUGUUAGGCCCU